rnacentral:rRNA from 1 species
GUUGACCUCGGAUCAGGUAGGAAUACCCGCUGAACUUAAGCAUAUCAAUAAGCGGAGGAAAAGAAACCAACAGGGAUUGCCCUAGUAACGGCGAGUGAAGCGGCAACAGCUCAAAUUUGAAAUCUGGCUCAGGCCCGAGUUGUAAUUUGCAGAGGAAGCUUCUGGCGCGGUGCCGUCCGAGUCCCCUGGAACGGGGCGCCAUAGAGGGUGAGAGCCCCGUAUGGACGGAUGCUAAGCCUGUGUGAAGCUCCUUCGACGAGUCGAGUAGUUUGGGAAUGCUGCUCAAAAUGGGAGGUAAAUUCCUUCUAAAGCUAAAUAUUGGCCAGAGACCGAUAGCGCACAAGUAGAGUGAUCGAAAGAUGAAAAGCACUUUGAAAAGAGGGUUAAACAGCACGUGAAAUUGUUGAAAGGGAAGCGCUUGUGACCAGACUUGCGCCUGGCUGAUCAUCCGGUGUUCUCACCGGUGCACUCUGCCAGGCUCAGGCCAGCAUCGGUUUUGGAGGGGGGAUAAAGGCUCUGGGAACGUAGCUCCUCCGGGAGUGUUAUAGCCCAGGGUGCAAUGCCCCCGCCGAGACCGAGGUUCGCGCAUCUGCAAGGAUGCUGGCGUAAUGGUCACCAGCGAC